rnacentral:rRNA from 1 species
UACGGGGGGGGCAAGCGUUGUUCGGAAUUACUGGGCGUAAAGGGCUCGUAGGCGGCCAACUAAGUCAGACGUGAAAUCCCUCGGCUUAACCGGGGAACUGCGUCUGAUACUGGAUGGCUAGAGGUUGGGAGAGGGAUGCGGAAUUCCAGGUGUAGCGGUGAAAUGCGUAGAUAUCUGGAGGAACACCGGUGGCGAAGGCGGCAUCCUGGACCAAUACUGACGCUCAUGCACGAAAGCGUGGGGAGCAAACAGG